rnacentral:lncRNA from 1 species
GGCAAAUGGUACUCUUGCAACAAUUGGUUUUGAGGAAAGAGCUUAUUUCAAAUACAGCCUUUUCAAAAAUCUGAGCUUGAGCCUGCCCUUCUAGUUUGGUCACAUAUCAGACCUGAGCAUUGUCAUCCCUUUGCUGUUUCACAAUCAAGAGAUGUCAUAAUGAUAUAGCACAGACCUGUGGGGUGGUUUUAUUUUUUAUUUUUUCCUAGGGGGAAGAGAGAAACAAAUAUGAGCCAAUGCCUAUCAGGUUGAGUGGUUAUGAUGCUAAUGAAAACCUGGAACACUAUUGCAAACUGGAAUGUUUGGCAGAAGCAGGAAUAGUUCUGUGCUGUUUAUGAGGUAUAUAAAAAGAAGUCAGUGUUUUGGGGAGCCAGGAGCUAAGACUGAGCCUAAGUUUCACUGCCUCUGAAACUUCCAAGGAGAAGAGACUUUUAUAAUCCAAG